AAGGAAGCAUGUCUAUUUGAAACGCAAGAUAUCAAGCUUUGUUAACCGGGUAAUAUAUACAUAUGAAAUGAUUCUUAGAGAUGAACGGUUAAAAGAACUAAAGGACAAUGAAGAUAAUGGCAUUUAGCUAGCUAGCUAGAUCUCCUCCUCUCUCCUAGACUUAGUAUCUGUACCACCUGAAAAAAAAUACUGAAGAAAUACGGCAUUCAGUCAAAAAGUAAUGAAACGAGAAGCGAACUUUACUUUGGGUGCAGCACCAUCAAUUAAUUGGUAGUAUAUGUUUAACACCAUAAUAUACUACCUCUGAAUUUACUUUAUCUGAUUUAUCCCUUUUCAAAUAAAUGUAUGUGCCAUCUGUUCUAGUGUGGUGAUGAACAUAAAAACAAACCAAAGAGAUUCCACAUCUAGCUAAUUAAACAGUUGCAGGUUUCUGCAAAGAUUUGCUUUCCGAAAAGUUUAAUUCUUCAGAUAAGGAUAAAAACAGAAGUACUGCAGAUAAGUACGGCGGCUUAAUUUCAUUGUAGAGAUAAGUACAAGACGUCACCAAUAGAACAGUAACUGGACAGUGACCUUAGUCCCUACCCUUUCUGGAGGUAUCAGGAUUCAGGAGACAAGGGUUCCAUCACGCAAUUACUUCGAGCAGCAGCGACACGUGUAGAACUGAACAAGUGAAGGACACAAGAAAUCUGUAGCAGCGAUGGCUACUGACCUGAUCUGAUGAGUGAGAUGGAAGGAGUAAUUAGCAGAUCUGAGCGGAAUUUGUUUCCUUCCUACCUCGCUCACGUCCCGGCCCCUCCUGCAAGCUGUGCUGCCACUAACAAGGAGAUGAACGAUAUGGUGCAGAUCUGAGGGGAAAAUCAACAGAUCCAUGCAAAUUUUAUGCAGCUCGCUCGAUCGAUCGAUCAAUUCGCGAGAUCCAUUUCUUGAACCAAUCAGAAUCAGUCAAUGUCGCAGUAAAUGGUACUAUUUUGUAAUCCCAAGAAAGGAAACGGCAGUUGGGAGUUGGGAUCCCUCGGAAAAGAUGAACAAAUUAGCACGAGAAAUCAACAGAUCAAAAUCAAAGGGGCACUACCUGCCAAGCAAAGAGAGGGAAUCCGUGCAACAAGUCACAGUUGCUAGCUGCAGACGCCGUACGCAGCAACCGCCCAAAAAUUUUGGAUCACCUGAGUUAGCUGUAGUACCUGCGAGGGGCGCCAUACGAUGAUAGUAAGAGCUACAUAGGGAGGCGCAUGCCUGUGACGGGCAUGGC
rnacentral:lncRNA from 1 species